GAUGAACGCUGGCGGCGUGCCUAAUACAUGCAAGCCGAGCGAACAGACGAGGAGCUUGCUCCUCUGACGUUAGCGGCGGACGGGUGAGUAACACGUGGAUAACCUACCUAUAUGACUGGGAUAACUUCGGGAAACCGGAGCCAAUACCGGAUAAUAUAUUGAACCGCAUGGUUCAAUAGUGAAAGACGGUUUUGCUGUCACUUAUAGAUGGAUCCGCGCCGCAUUAGCUAGUUGGUAAGGUAACGGCUUACCAAGGCAACGAUGCGUAGCCGACCUGAGAGGGUGAUCGGCCACACUGGAACUGAGACACGGUCCAGACUCCUACGGGAGGCAGCAGUAGGGAAUCUUCCGCAAAGGGCGAAAGCCUGACGGAGCAACGCCGCGUGAGUGAUGAAGGUCUUCGGAUCGUAAAACUCUGUUAUUAGGGAAGAACAAAUGUGUAAGUAACUAUGCACGUCUUGACGGUACCUAAUCAGAAAGCCACGGCUAACUACGUG
rnacentral:rRNA from 1 species